rnacentral:rRNA from 1 species
GAUGAACGCUGGCGGCGUGCCUAAUACAUGCAAGUCGAGCGAACAGAUGAGGAGCUUGCUCCUCUGACGUUAGCGGCGGACGGGUGAGUAACCCGUGGAUAACCUACCUAUAAGACUGGGAUAACUUCGGGAAACCGGAGCUAAUACCGGAUAAUAUAUUGAACCGCAUGGUUCAAUAGUGAAAGACGGUUUUGCUGUCACUUAUAGAUGGAUCCGCGCCGCAUUAGCUAGUUGGUAAGGUAACGGCUUACCAAGGCAACGAUGCGUAGCCGACCUGAGAGGGUGAUCGGCCACACUGGAACUGAGACACGGUCCAGACUUCUACGGGAGGCAGCAGUAGGGAAUCUUCCGCAAUGGGCGAAAGCUUGACGGAGCAACGCCGCGUGAGUGAUGAAGGUCUUCGGAUCGUAAAACUCUGUUAUUAGGGAAGAACAAAUGUGUAAGUAACUAUGCACGUCUUGACGGUACCUAAUCAGAAAGCCACGGCUAACUACGUG